GAAAAAAAAAAGAAGAGAAAAAGAAGGAAUUUUUUAAGGUGAUGAAGCAGUUUACAAUGGUGACGGUUAUUUCAAAGGCAAACGAGAUGAACUGUUGGAGCUGUGGUUCAGUUGAAGACUUAGACUAGUUGUUUUUUUUCCUUUUGACUUUUGGUUUGGCAAUGUUUUGGCAAUUCUGUAAUGGAAUAUAAACGAAUUAUCUGUGAUAUUAA